UGGGGAAUAUUGGACAAUGGGCGAAAGCCUGAUCCAGCCAUGCCGCGUGUGUGAAGAAGGUCUUCGGAUUGUAAAGCACUUUAAGUUGGGAGGAAGGGCAGUAAGCGAAUACCUUGCUGUUUUGACGUUACCGACAGAAUAAGCACCGGCUAACUCUGUGCCAGCAGCCGCGGUAAUACAGAGGGUGCAAGCGUUAAUCGGAAUUACUGGGCGUAAAGCGCGCGUAGGUGGUUCGUUAAGUUGAAUGUGAAAGCCCCGGGCUCAACCUGGGAACUGCAUCCAAAACUGGCGAGCUAGAGUAGGGCAGAGGGUGGUGGAAUUUCCUGUGUAGCGGUGAAAUGCGUAGAUAUAGGAAGGAACACCAGUGGCGAAGGCGACCACCUGGGCUGAUACUGACACUGAGGUGCGAAAGCGUGGGGAGCAAACAGG
rnacentral:rRNA from 1 species